ensembl:lncRNA
UAUGCCUGACACCUCUCUGUGGUGACCCUGUAACAACAGGAUUUCACUGCCAAGCCUCCCUAGGGCUGUUCCCACUUGCACUGGCUGUGGUGGCAAAGCUUCUAUCCUAUCUGACCCACACAAGACUUGCAAGUAAAUUGCAACAUGUCAUUACAACUGGUAGUUCAAAGCUGUCCUCUGUAGCGUGCCGGAUGGCACAUCAGCUCUUUUCAGCCUUCUCAGUACCCACAUUGCCUUGCAUGAGCCAUCAAUGCCAGUGCCUCCUUCAGUGUUCCUGGACACCAUUCCCUUUCUCCCAUCCUGGGCUCCCGAGGCUGCUUGUUAAUGAUGCAGGGACAGGCAUGGAGAACAUAGAGAGAAGGACUUAGCUCCUCUAUCUGUCUGUCUCAGCCUUUCUGUGCACAGGUGUGUUUGUUUUUCUUUCUUUCAGCAAUGGCAGGAAAUAAGCUUGCAAUCCUGUUUCAAAAUUAGGAAUGUUUUUUGAUGUUUGGAAGGUCUUUAUCUCUGUAAAGCAGAACACUUCUGAUCUUGGGUAUACUUUUGUGCCACUCCUGCAGCCCUUGUUACGCCUGUUCCAUUUUGCAGAAAUGUCUUAAAAAUGAGCUUUGUUUCCAAAAUGGAGAACCAGAAGGAGUCUUCUGGCAAUUUCUAGAGAGACGGUGCUUUCAUCUCCAGGUGACCAGUGGGACUGGCACAUCCUGAUGGCACGGGACUGCCAGGGCUCUCUGAAGCACAAAGCAUUCUGCUAAUCCACCUGGCGCUAGGUGACAAGCAAGAAAGGCAUCGCUGAGUUCCAAUAAUCUUUUGAAGCUUCUCAGAAGGAAACAUUGAAGACAACUCUAACUCCAGAUGACUUCACUUCCAUCAUUUAUUGUUUGUUAUCUUGAGACUAUGAAGCAUGAGGUUUGUUGCAGCUGAGUUUAAGCAUCUAAAAAACAGGUAUCUGGUAUAAACAUGAAUUCAGAC